ACGGGAGGCAGCAGUGAGGAAUAUUGCACAAUGGAGGAAACUCUGAUGCAGCAACGCCGCGUGAGCGAUGAAGGUCUUCGGAUCGUAAAGCUCUGUCCUUAGGGACGAAUAGAUGACGGUACCUAAGGAGGAAGCCCCGGCUAACUACGUGCCAGCAGCCGCGGUAAUACGUAGGGGGCGAGCGUUAUCCGGAAUUAUUGGGCGUAAAGAGUACGUAGGUGGCUAUGUAAGCGAGAGGUGAAAGCCCGGGGCUCAACUCCGGCGAGCCUUUCGAACUGCAUGGCUUGAGUGCAGGAGGGGAAAGUGGAAUUCCUAGUGUAGCGGUGAAAUGCGUAGAUAUUAGGAGGAACACCAGUGGCGAAGGCGGCUUGCUGGACGAUAACUGACGCUGAGGCUCGAAAGCGUGGGGAGCAAACAGGAUUAGAUACCCUGGUA
rnacentral:rRNA from 1 species